UACGUAGGGUGCAAGCGUUAAUCGGAAUUACUGGGCGUAAAGCGUGCGCAGGCGGUGAUGUAAGACAGGUGUGAAAUCCCCGGGCUUAACCUGGGAACUGCGCUUCUAACUGGCAGGCUUGAGUGUGGCAGAGGGGGGUGGAAUUCCACGUGUAGCAGUGAAAUGCGUAGAGAUGUGGAGGAACACCGAUGGCGAAAGCGACUUUCUGGUCCUUAACUGACGCUGAGGCGCGAAAGCAUGGGGAGCGAACGGG
rnacentral:rRNA from 1 species